rnacentral:rRNA from 1 species
UACGGAGGGUGCAAGCGUUAAUCGGAAUUACUGGGCGUAAAGCGCGCGUAGGCGGUUAUUUAAGUCAGAUGUGAAAUCCCCGGGCUUAACCUGGGAAUUGCAUUUGAGACUGGAUGGCUAGAGUGUGGUAGAGGUGAGUGGAAUUUCAGGUGUAGCGGUGAAAUGCGUAGAUAUCUGAAGGAACAUCAGUGGCGAAGGCGACUCACUGGGCCAUUACUGACGCUGAGGUGCGAAAGCGUGGGUAGCAAAUGGG